UUAACCGAAUAGGGGAGCCGGAGGGAAACCGAGUCUUAAUUGGGCGUUAAGUUGCAGGGUAUAGACCCGAAACCCGGUGAUCUAGCCAUGGGCAGGUUGAAGGUUGGGUAACACUAACUGGAGGACCGAACCGACUAAUGUUGAAAAAUUAGCGGAUGACCUGUGGCUGGGGGUGAAAGGCCAAUCAAACCGGGAGAUAGCUGGUUCUCCCCGAAAGCUAUUUAGGUAGCGCCUCGUGAACUCAUCUCCGGGGGUAGAGCACUGUUUCGGCUAGGGGGCCAUCCCGGCUUACCAACCCGAUGCAAACUGCGAAUACCGGAGAAUGUUAUCACGGGAGACACACGGCGGGUGCUAACGUCCGUCGUGAAGAGGGAAACAACCCAGACCGCCAGCUAAGGUCCCAAAGUCAUGGUUAAGUGGGAAACGAUGUGGGAAGGCCCAGACAGCCAGGAUGUUGGCUUAGAAGCAGCCAUCAUUUAAAGAAAGCGUAAUAGCUCACUGGUCGAGUCGGCCUGCGCGGAAGAUGUAACGGGGCUAAACCAUGCACCGAAGCUGCGGCAGCGA
rnacentral:rRNA from 1 species